rnacentral:rRNA from 1 species
GACGAACGCUGGCGGCGUGCUUAACACAUGCAAGUCGAACGGAAAGGCCCUGCUUUUGUGGGGUGCUCGAGUUGCGAACGGGUGAGUAACACGUGAGUAACCUGCCCUUGACUUUGGGAUAACUUCAGGAAACUGGGGCUAAUACCGGAUAGGAGCUCCUGCUUCAUGGUGGGGGUUGGAAAGUUUCGGCGGUUGGGGAUGGACUCGCGGCUUAUCAGCUUGUUGGUGGGGUAGUGGCUUACCAAGGCUUUGACGGGUAGCCGGCCUGAGAGGGUGACCGGCCACAUUGGGACUGAGAUACGGCCCAGACUCCUACGGGAGGCAGCAGUGGGGAAUAUUGCACAAUGGGCGGAAGCCUGAUGCAGCAACGCCGCGUGCGGGAUGACGGCAUUCGGGUUGUAAACCGCUUUCGCCUGUGACGAAGCGUGAGUGACGGUAAUGGGUAAAGAAGCACCGGCUAACUACGUG